rnacentral:lncRNA from 1 species
AUUGACUGACCAAAAUUAAAAAUUAAUUUAGUAGCUAAUAAAGGAGUUUAUACGGUCCGAAAUGGAAUGAGUUAACCAUUGUUGAAUUUCAGCUUCGUCUGUUGGUCUAAUAAUUGGUAUAUCAACCGUUAUUGAACUAUUUGACUAGGGAAAAAAAAGUAAUCAUCAACAAAUACAUUCCCAUAACAAACAAAGAAUUCUGUUGCUUUCAUGAUUAUCAUAAACCGGAUCUUUGAAAAUUAAUCAUAUGAAACUGCUGAUAUCCAGAGACUUUAAUGUGCUUUCAGCGUAUUAUACGAAUGAGGAGCCAACCCCAUAGAUGAACAAAUAAGAAAACUUUCUUUUAAAUAAACAUUUGAAUAUCGUAAACAUUUUAACAGCCCUUUAGCAAAUGUUUGAAAACAUUAAAUCACCGCAAAGGGUCUUCCUUUACAGUCCAAAAACUACAACACUCAACGAAAGAUGUUUUAAAGGUGUCGACUGGCAAUUAAGACAAAUUUUUAAAAAGAAAUAACGCAAGCAAGGGUGCUUCACGCUAUUAUGAUCUCAUUAGUUUUAUCAAAUUUGACAAUUCUAAAGAGGAAGAUUAUUAGCAGAUAGUAAUCGAAAUACAAACGCUUCUUUCAAUAUAGAAUCGUUUGAAUACACAUGUAGCAUAUUAAACCUUUUCCAAAAAAUAACGGAUAACAUUCUCAGCAUUGCAUUUGUUCAAAACUCAUUAGUUUCUAUUUAGGAUAUCUAGUUUGGUAAGUGAGACGAAUUGGAAAAUGAACAUCGAGAUUGAUGAAUUUAGCAGCAUACCCCUAAUAGCAAAUAAGCAAUCACAGUACUUAUUAAAAACUCUAGUGAAUAAACCAGGAUUUUCUUGUAAAGUUAGCAUUUAUCAGAAUUUUGAAGAACGAACCAAUUUCAAUUAUAAAAUAUGCCACGUUUAGCAUAACACCAAUGACACGCUCCACCAACGGGCAUCCCAGUCUCCAUUGCUCAAAAUGACUUCUAAAAAACAUAAGGAGGGGAAUGGCAAAUGCAUUAACAAAAGUCAACUUGAGAAUAGCAUAUAGCAUAUUUACUCCCCGUUUUUGGGGAAAAGAUCUUAUACCUGCUCCGCAAGCGACAAUAACUUCCUUGAUACUCCUGAACCAUGUUUCAUAUGUUGCUAUAGAAUUAGCAGCUGCAUACUGAUAGUAAUCACAUAGUCCACUUACCGAGUAAAAGCCACAUCGAAAAUAUGUUAAUUCCACCAUUUCCCAAUCCAAAUAGCACCCGAUCUUUAGUUGAAAAGUUUGCAAACACGAGAUAUUUAAACAAAGCAAUAUUUAUUACGAAAACAGGAAGAAGUACUGCUGGAAUUUUUGUCGACCAAGCCGUACGAGUAUCAGCAACCUUAGAAGCUUCCAUCACUUUAUGAUCAGCAGGUCUGGAAGUUUUCACUUUUACGUUAAAAUUGCUAUCUUUUUGAAUAUGAAGUUCUUUUUCUUCCCAACGAGGGUAUUUUUCUUACCUAAAGACUGAGGUAUAGUGGCUUCCUCGACCACAGUGUAUUGUGAGACCUGAGUUUCGUGCUCGCCUUUUCCACGUUUAGGAUUCAAUUCAUCCAAAGAAUCCUUAGCCAAAUGAUGAUUGUUUUCCAUAAUGAGCGAUAAAAAGAGGUUGAUCAAAAAAUGCGCCGGUUGAUAUAACUGCGUAAACAAACAAGCAAGGUCCUUUCAAAUUAUCGCAAUUUCAGAUCUUACAAAGUUAUACUAAGCAGAGAAUUACAAAAUUGAAAAAUUUCGAAUCAAUUGCUUAAAACAAAGAAUAUUCAAAAAUAGGAACCAAAAAGCUGAUUUAGGAGGUAGAUUACUUCUAACAUCCGCAUUUUAAGAAGACUAGCAGUAUUCCUAAGUUACAUUAUAUGCUAUAACGAACACUUUGAAGCAAUCUUAUAUCUGGAAAUGCGAAAAAUAAUACAGUCAAUUGAUCGUCAGUAAAUGCAUUAUCGAUACAGAUUAGUCCUUGCCAUGGAUUGACUUCUGCAGUAUAGGAGAGUUAAGUUAAC